rnacentral:rRNA from 1 species
GAUGAACGCUGGCGGCGUGCUUAACACAUGCAAGUCGAACGAUGAACCGGGUGCUUGCACUCGGGGAUUAGUGGCGAACGGGUGAGUAACACGUGAGCAAUCUGCCCCUGACUCUGGGAUAAGCGCUGGAAACGGCGUCUAAUACCGGAUACGAGCUGCGAAGGCAUCGUCAGCAGCUGGAAAGAACUUCGGUCAGGGAUGAGCUCGCGGACUAUCAGCUAGUGGGUGAGGUAACGGCUCACCAAGGCGUCGACGGGUAGCCGGCCUGAGAGGGUGACCGGCCACACUGGGACUGAGACACGGCCCAGACUCCUACGGGAGGCAGCAGUGGGGAAUAUUGCACAAUGGGCGAAAGCCUGAUGCAGCAACGCCGCGUGAGGGACGACGGCCUUCGGGCUGUAAACCUCUUUUAGCAGGGAAGAAGCGAAAGUGACGGUACCUGCAGAAAAAGCGCCGGCUAACUACGUGCCAGCCGCCGCAGUAA